rnacentral:lncRNA from 1 species
AACAGCAGCAUUUAGAUUACUUUACUAGGAGAAAGUGCGCAAAAAGAAAUUAAAGUUCGCAACAAAAUUGGAACCAAAAAAGGCUCGCUACAAAGAAAAACACCAUAAUUUAGGUCAUUGCACCUUCCUGAAAAUUAAUAGAUAUAAGGAGAAGAAUUGGUCAUUAAUCCAUCAACAAAAUUGGCAAAAAAAGAACUAAUCACGCAACAUUAUUAUUUCUUUAAAUGAUUUUACAUCAAAUAAUCAUAUUUCAUUUGUUAGCUCACAAUUAAGAGACGAUUUCACUAUCAAAAUUCAAGAAAAGUUCUACAUGCAAUUGUGAUCAUAUAAAAAUGGAAAAGAAAUUAGAAGUCAAAAGUAUAAAAUAUAUUAUGAACCCUCUUGAGAAUCAAUGACAUAAGUCAUAAACAAAGAAGAAACAACAAUCACCUUGUUUAUAAUAAUAUGGAGUCGAAUAAAUACAUCGCGGACUGAUUAAAAAAGAAAAAAGAAUAGAUACAAUAUCUGUCAGUUUGUCUAACUUGUGGUCCACCAAGAGGCCGAUGGAUCAUUAUCCUCGAGUUUGGAAGGCUAUACCUUUUUCCUUCAGUAAUUAUCAGAGAGAAUUGUAUAGAAACUUCAGCAAGUAAAAUAACCACCAAUAGAAUGUUGAACUUCUUAAAGUAAAAUGCAUUAGCAUGCAUGUCUUUGAGCAUGCUGGAUACAAUAGUAAGAUGAUGAAACACCAAAUAUACACAUCAGAAGAACUAAAGAAACAACAAUCUUUGCCAAUUACUAUGAAAAUAUGUUGGUAUUAUAAAAUUAGAGAUGAACUGACUACUAAUAAAGCUUCAAUUUUAAUUUUUUUUUCCAGCAAAGAAAGAGGUUUCAAAUAUCUCAUAACAAAUCUUGAAGAAAGAAAAUAGUUGCUUGUCUAACAGAGGUACUUGGUUACUCUCUCUACCACUAAGGAAAGUUAGAAAUACAAUAUUAGUAGAAUCUACACCAAAUUGUAAUUAAAUAGCAGUAAUGUAUCAUAACCAGGCCACUAAUCCAACACAUACAGUAGAAAGUCUGGUCUACUAUGCCUCAUUUUGACAAUAAUGACCAUACCUACCACAAUAAUGGAAAGCAAAUAAGACAAAUAAAUGGUCAAAAGCUAGAAAGAUGGAGUGGAAAAGGAAAAAAGAAAUGUUACAAGCUGUAACUGAUCUCUCUUUUCCACAGCUUCAAAAUCUUAAAUGCAGAGAAGGGUCACCACCAUAAACUGCUUUAUAUAAAUUAUUUUUAACACAUAAUCCCCAAUAUUUAACACUUGAAUUGGUUUUCAUACUAAAAAUCCAAGAAAAUCAAAAGACUUAACCAGCAUUGUAUUUCCAGACUAUUGAAAUGUGGCACCAGUUUCUGCAUAUUGGAAAGCGUCACUGAAAUCAUUGACAAAAAAUAGCAAUUUCUUGAAUAACUGAGAAAUUAAACCUUGAAUCCUUAAUCAACUGAUUGAUAUCAUAUAACUACAACAAUUUUAAAGAUUCAAUCUAUAAUUUACAAUGACUUCAACAUGAAUCUUCCAAUAUACAGUUGUCCUUGCAUUAAUAUUCUUGAAUAACUUAAAUACAUCUUAAUAACCUUUAAUUCUUUCUAAACUUCGAAAAUAAACCAAUUUUUCAUGAACCCUAAAAUUAAAUUGAAGCAAAUCUGCUGCUUUACCUCUAAAAGGAAGAAAUUGAACACCCUACGUCAUUAAUGUUGCCAUCCUUUUCUUUCUCCUCAUUUUUUUCUCUCUUCUUUCUUUUCAUCUCCUCAUUUCUUCUCUUCUCUUGAUUCUUCCCUGCUUGUUUCUUUUCAUUCUCCAAAUGAAAAUAAUGGGUCCAAUGAGAGUUAAGUAUAACUGUCACAAAUUUGCAAAAGAAGUCCCUUUACCUUAUGGGCUGGGUGAAUUUUAAUUGGGUCGUGGGCUACUAUUCACAGCAUUUAACGACCGUUGCAAAAAGUGAUUUUUUUUUUGAAUGCUUUCGCAAUAGUUAAUGAAUAUUGCAAAAAAUGAAACUUUUCCAAACAUUCAAUAAACGUUAUAAAAAGUGACGUUGCAAAAAGUUCACUUUGCAUUAGUUAAUAAACAUUGCAAAAGGCCAUAUAUUACGAGUUUCAACAAUGUGCACUGAACGUUGGUGUAAAGCCAGAUUUUAACAACAUUCAAUAAACAUUGAAAAAAAAUGAAAAUUUUCGCAGCAUUCAAUGAAUGUUACAAAAAAGUUAACUUUUUGUUAAAGCCAACAAACGUUUCAAAAGGCUAUAUAUUAAGAGUUUCAGCAACAUGCACCAAAUGUUUAUGUAGAGUUCAAAUUUUAAAAGCGUUCAAUAAAUGUUGCAAAAAAUAAAACUUUUCACAACAUUCAAUAAAUGUUGCAAAAAAGUGUUUAUGUAAAGUUCAAAUUUUAAAAGCGUUCAAUAAACAUUGCAAAAAAUAAAACUUUUCACAACAUUCAAUAAAUGUUGCAAAAAAGUUCACUUUUUGCAACAAUUAGUAAACGUUGCAAAAUGCUAUAUAUUACGACUUUUAGCUACAUUCACUGAACGUUGUUGUAAAGUCAGAUUUUAACAACAUUCAAUAAACGCUACAAAAAAUGAAACUUUUCAUAACAUUCAAUAAACGUUGCAAAAUAUGACAUUAGUAACAUACAUUUAAAAAAUGUUGCCAAAGCUCAAUUAUGUUAACCAAUGGCAACAUUCACUUAUUAAAAUUAUACAAUAGACCCCCUUUAACAACACUCAAUUAACAAAUGUUGCCUCUUUAGUGUUGCCAAAAAUCAGUUUUUUUGUUGUGAUUCUCAUAGUCUAUCCACUAGAACAUUACUUCAUUCGUGUAUCGAUUGGAAAUUGGAAUAUUUUCUAGCUUACUACAUAAUGAGCUUGUAUUUUUUUAUUAUUUAUUCCUAAAGUUACUUAUUUGACAUGUGGACUUUGUUUCAGUACAUUGACACAUCAACGAUGGUGCAGAUAUUGUUGCAUUAGCUAGAGACUAUAUCAAGUUUCUGUUUGGAGGACAGAAGAGCUAACAUCUAAGGCAUGCCAUCUAUUAGUGAAAGAUGUUCUUCAAGAUGCUGACAUAGAAGAAAGAUGAAGAUGAUCGAUAUUGGCUUGAACGCAAAAUAUUUAGUACCUCCACAUGGUAUGAUAGCCCUGUCAAGUCUAUAAACGGUGAUACCGGAGAGCACGUACCUUAUUCAUCCUUGACAAAGGGUAUAUAAAGUAUAAGGUUUAAGACUCUUAAUGAAAACCUUGCACAAAGCUUGCUUCUCAAAAGAUUUGGUUUCGUAGUGUUUUCAUGUCUUCAUUUAUGCCUUUACCUUGUGAAAUACAUUUAUUAUAAAAGUUCAUUAAGGAAUGGCAAGAAGGAAUUUGCAAUAGAUUUAAUCUGGAUGAUUGUACAGGCCUGAGCAUAAGGAUAUCCCUUUUUCUUCUUCUUCUUUUGAUCUCAUGUUUAGCAAUUGAAUGCCACCAUCAGGGGUUCGUGGUCUACUAUGUACGUGUGAGGUGUGGUGGAAGGAAGAGGCCAAAUCCCAAUAGUACUUUGUAUAGUUAGAAGAAUUAUUAAGUUAUCGAGUACCUGAGUUUACGGGAUCCAUGGACAAAAACUGUAACCUUUCGUCAUGUAAAGUUAUGAAAAUAAUUGGAACCUAUUUAUCCUAGUUUUUAUUUUUGUUUUUGUUUUGGUUCGUGAAAGGAGCUACUUUGUUUGCCAACUCCAAUUGGAUUUUCAAGGUUUGUGCUUUUUGAAGCUAAAUUAAUUAGGGUGUUGAGUUUAUUGCACGAGUUUUGAAGGGAAUUGCGAUUUGGAAUUUACAUUUAGAGUCCGAUGUUUAAAUUUUGGUUCGGCUUAAUUAGAAUAUUAAUGAGGUGAAGAUGAAUCAAAGAGACGCUGUAAAAACCAGCAACGCUCUGGAUCCCAAUUAAUUACUUUAACUCUCCCGCUUUAUAUGUUGAUGCAUUUUUUUCUACUUGUCUAAAUGGUGUCUUUAGUCUCGAUGAUAGCUGGUUUUGCCUCCGCAAGUUUGGAGUCAACUGAAGAUACAAUUAUCCUGAAAAAGGACUAAGAUAUUUUUGUAUGUUUUUUAGUAUUUUUGCAUUUUUUAGGAAGGGAGGUUAACAUUACGAUAUAGAGAACUAUUAUACACGUUCAAGGGCAUUUAAUAUUAAUACUUCCUGCUAAAGCUUGCUUUCAGAAGGUUAUAUUGUUUCCUUUUGCGUUUCUCAAUUUUUUAAAUUUGAAUUUAUUCUGCAAUUAAGGGUAAAAUGUAUAUUGCUAAUUUGUUCCUCAUAAUCUUUCAUUUGUCAAUAUACCCUAUUUACAAUGUUGUCUGCCUCGAAACAUUUAGCAACAUAUGCUUAACACAUAAUAUUUUCUUAUACAUACAUUAUUACAUAACUCAACUAUAUCGUGUAACAGGCCUUGCACGUGUCUUACUUGGUUGAGCCAAUUGUAUAUGGGUAAGGGUUAGUUAAUGAUGAGUUCAGAUAGUGGAUUUGGCUUUAGGAAAAAAUUCAUAUGAGUUUAACUUUGACCGAUUUCAAAACUAAUAAAAAAUGUUAAAAAUUUCAAAAAUCAGAUAUUAUUAAAUUUUGUUUAUGAAAUAACUGAAUAAAAAAAUAUUUUAUUAAUUAAACAUAUUAAGGUCACAAAUCUAUAUAAUUUCAUCACAAAUUAUCAAAUUAAUUGGUUACAAAUUAUUUCUCGAGCACAAAUUAAAAAUUCUAUAGGACAUUAUUCAUCGGUCACAAAAUCAAAACUUUUAUUGGUCACAAUUCAUUUAUCAAUUACACAUUAUCAAAUUAAUUGUCAAAUUAAUUUUGUGGUCACAACUUAAUAAAUUGUGAGUCACAAUUACAUUUUUUAGGUCACAAAUUAACCAAUUUAUUGAUCACAAUCAACCAAAUAAUUGGUCACAAACAGCUCCUAUCCCAUCCCAUCUACCCAUGGCCACCGUCGUCUCACCAGACCGUGCAAAAUCACCACCACAACAACCACUACAUCACAUCAAUGCAAACCUACCACCACCAUAGUAACCACACACCAAACUCCUACACUAUCAUCGUUGCCAGAUCGCAACAUAACCAAACUCCUACAAAUCAACCACAAAACCACCACAAACCCAUCAUGACAACCAGAGUGUACACCACUGUGCCCAACACUCUAAGUUCGUUGCCGCUCGGGACGAGAUCUGAAUGUCGUGCACGACGAGAUCUGAAUGCCGUACACGACGGGAUCUGAUCGUCAUUGUAUGCAACGAACUCAAGCUCCGUUUAGCAACAACGCCUAAGGCAAUACAUUCGCCACUCACAACGGCUGAUCAGUGGCACUGGAUUCGCCUCCUCAUUCGUACCUACUGGUGAAAGGAGUGAAAGAAAAAAAAUGAAAUAGGUCUCCCUACCAAGAGUUCCUUGGGGAUAUGCAAGAACUGGCUAACACUGCAUACGCUAUAUCCGGAUGUGUGUGACAGAUAAAUAGGUUCCUACAAGUACUGGUACAUUUCCAUGUCUACUGCAACAUCUUCCUCUACCUUUCCAAGUCUAACAUUCGAAUCUAAUGAAGUACUUGCUGGUUUGCAAACUAUCUUCUCCUUAUCAUCAAUCCCGAUCACUAUUGUGUCAUCAACAUAUUCUAAGAAAACUGUGACUCCCUUGAAGGUGAGUGUUUAAUGUACAGCAUAUGAUCCCUUUAGCUUUGUCUAUAUAUAUCCCAUGGCUAUCAUAACUCUUGCAAAUCUUCCAAACCAUGCCUAUGGUGAUUUCUCAAGUCCAUAGAGGCUUUCUUCAACCUACACACAAUAUAACCAGCCAAAUUAUUCCCAUAACCUAAUACGACCUCUAUAUAAAUUUCUUCCUUUAGUUCUCCAGGCAAACAAUGCAAUCUUAAAAUCAAAAUGCUGCUAUUCCAACCAUAAUUAGUUGUUAAUGACAACAAGAUUCUAACAGUAUUUAUCUUUGCAAUUGGAGCAUAAGUCUCUAGGUAAUCGAUUCCAUAUGAUUGAGUAUAACCUUUAGCCACCAACUUUCCCUCGUAUCUUUCUAUCGAUCCAUCUGCCCUAUACUUCACUAUAUAAACCCAUUUUACAUCCCACUAAUCUCUUUCUUGUUAGCAACUUCACCAAUUCCCAAGUUUUUUUAAGGACCUCUAUCCUUACAUUCAUAGCUUGUUUCUAUUUCUCAUUGGACAAAGCCUUGGAUAAGGUGGCAGGAAUGACAAUGGUGUUUAAGCUAACAAGGAAGGCUCUAUGAGAUGGGGAAAAAUGUUUAAAAGACAAGAAAUGUGCAAGAGGAUAUAAAUGUCGGUUUGUGAGCAAUGGGAAGGCCCUGUCAUUAUUGCUCACAUUAGAUUCAGUUUUAGCUUGCAAUGAAGGGUUAGAAAUUGUUGCCGCAUUCUCAAAAUCCGGGUUCGUGUCUUGUACUUGCACAGAUUCAAGGACAACCAUCUUCCUUGAAAACACCUUGCCCUUGCCAAAUAUUUACAUUUUCAAAAGUAGAGUCCAUCUUUUUUCUUGAGGAUUUUGAGCACGGGCACGAGUUCAGACAAGGAGACACGGAAUUCAACAUAGUGGAAUGAGGAACUGAUCUGGACCUGGAAAGUGACAGUAAGUUAGGCAAAAAACUAUCCUUAUUUACCAUUAUUGAAUUCUCACCCUAAAGAUAAGGAGCUGUGAAAUACAACUCUAAUUCAUUGAAAGGAACACCACCGAGACAUAGAAUUUCUUUGAUGGAGGGUGGUAACACUUGCACCCUUUCUAAAUUGACGAAUAACCACAAAGACACAUCUUAACACCCUAGGAUCCAAGUUUCCCCUAUUUUGACUAUGGUCAUGGACAAAUGAUAUACACCCAAACAUCCUAGGGACAAGAUUAUUUGUAGUGUGUAGGUUAGGAUAGAAUGUCGAUAGUAUUUCCAUUUGACUCUUGAAUCCCAAGAUUCUGGAAGGUAAACGAUUUAUUAGAUGUGUGGCUGUAAGAACUGCUUCUACCCAAAAGGAUUUAGGUACAUCUCUAUGGAACAUGAAGGCUCAGGUUGAUUUAAGGUGUCAAUUUUACUUUUUUGCUACUCUAUUUUGCUGUAGAGUACUAACAUAAGAUGACUCGUGUACUAUCCCUUAAUUCUUCUUAAAGUACGGAGAUAGGACUUGAUUGAACCAACCCAAACCUUUUGAUAUUGACCUUAAAUUGAUUCUUAAUCAUGGAACAAAAAUUUGGAUGAACAGUACUAACAUCAAAUUUAUGUAUGAGCCAAAAAAUCCAAGUAACAUGAGAAUUAUGUUUAAUAACCCUAAAUGACACAUGUACAAGUCAACAAUGGUGAAGCCACUCUCUAUAUUGGAUGAAAAAACUCAAACAAAAGAAUGAGGUAAUUUGCCCUUGAUGAUACUUGAUUGCCUCGGUGAUUCGAGUUAGGAAAAGCCCAUCCCAUUCUCUAGCAUGUCCAAUCAUCUUCCCCGAAUCCUUGUCCUGAAAUACACUAACUAUAAUGAAAAACCACAUUGCAAUGUAAAUCAUGAGUGAGUUUUUGUCUAGAGACAAUAUUUGUGGACAGUCUAGGGACAUGGAGAACGUUUUACGGUCAAUGAUGGGCUUAUUUUGAAAUCUCCUGCACCUGCUACCUUGGUCAAAGAACCAUAAGUUGUGACUAUUUUCCUGUUGCUUGGACAUGGGAAAUAUGUGAAAAAAAUAUUUUGUGAGUUGGUCAUAUGUUCAGUAGCUCCUAAGUCCAUGACGCAAUAGAGAAAGGAAACUCACCUGAAUACGCCAAUGAACAAAUACCUAAAGGUUUGUCAAGGUUGCCAAUAAGAGAUCUCACCUUCUUGACCUCUUUUUGGAGUCUAGUGUGGCAGAAGAAACAACUUUUUACCUUUUCAAAACAAAUAGUGCGAAACAAGGUGGAGGCAACUCAUUUGUUGGUGAAGGAUUUACGUAUCAAAAACUAAGAAGAGACUUGCUACUUAAGUUGGAAAGCAUAAAAGUUCACAUAAUCAAGCUCGCAUUAAAUGUGAAGCCUUGAUAAAUCAAGAGCAACACGGUCAAUCAAUUUUCUUCAAGCAGUCCAAACAAAUGCGACAUGAUUAUCGUGUCUAUCUUAUUGCAUCAAUUGACUGUGUUCAAGUUUUGUUGCAACAAGGGCUUUCAUUUCAGGGUCAUGAUGAAUUUAAGAAUUCUCUCAAUUAAGGUAACUUCCUAAUUCAAUUACAAUUCCUAGCUGAUCAUAAUCAUGAGGUUAAGGCUGUGACGUUGGAAAAUGCUCCUCAAAAUUGCAAUCUAACAUCCCCUAAAGUAUAAAAGAAUAGAGUAAGUGCUUGUGCUGCUGAAACGAUAAAUGUGAUUAUAGAUGUUGGAGAUUCAUUAUUUUCUAUUUUAGUUGAUGAAUCUCAUGACGUGUCAACAAAGGAGCAAAUGUCAAUUGUGUUACGACAUGUGAAAAAUGAAUUUGUAAAUGAAUGUUUCAUAGGUAUUGAACAUCUGUCCAGUACCAUUGUUGUCUCACUCAAGGCCGCUAUUGAUAACAAGUUUUCUAGAUAUAACUUGAGCAUUUCUAAUCUAAGGGGACAAAGUUACGACGGGCAAGCAAUAUGCAAGGUCAAUUCAGUGGUCUCAAAGCACUCAUUUUAAAUUAGAACCGUUGUGCCUUUUAAGCUCAUUAUUUUGCUCAUCAACCGCAAUUAGUAGCUAUGGCAAAGAAGAAUAUACCGAUUAUUAAAUUCUUUCAUGUGGUUGCUAAUGUGAUAAAUAAUGUUAUAACAUCUAAACGUUGUAAUCUUCUACAAGAGAAACAAUCAGACUUCAUUAUUGAGGCAUUGGAGAAUGAUGAUAUCUUAAGUGGACGGGGCCUUAAUCAAAAAACCACUCUUCAACGUUUAGGUGAUACGCAUUAGUGAUUUCAUUAUAAUUCUUUGGUUAGCUUGAUUAGCAUUUUUAAGGCUAUUAUUGAUGUACUUGAAAUAACUGUUGAAGAUGAAUCUAGUACUUGUGAUAAAAAAAAGUUAUGCAUUCAAUUUAUUGGAGUCAAUACAAUCGUUUGAUUUUACAUUUAAUCUACAUUUAAUGAGAAGUGUCUUGAGUAUUUCAAAUGAUUUGUCACAGGAAUUGCAAAGGAAAGAUCAAGACAUUAUCAAUGCAAUGGACAUGGUGAAUGUUUGCAAAAAACGACUCCCAACUUCUGAGAGAUGAUGGGAUUCUUUUUUGCAACAAGUUCCUUUUGUCAGAAUCAUUAUAUUGAUGUGCCAAACAUGGAUGUUAUGUUUAUGGUAUUCGCUCUCAUCGUAAUCCUCCACAAAUAACCAACUUGCAUCACUUUUUGGUAGAUUUAUUCUACGCUAUCAUCGAUAUGCAAUUUCAAGAAUUGAAUGAUCGUUUCUUAGAGGUAAUUGCUGAGUUGGUCCUUUUGUUUAGCUUGUCUGUGUCCACAAAAUUCAUUCUUUGCUUUUGACAAAAGAAAGUUUUAUCCACAAAAUUUUUCAAUGGUAGUUCUCUUCAUAGUGGAAUAUCAACUUGAUAAUUAUAAUUUUGACAUUCUCUUUAAUAAAGAGUUCGAAGAAUUGAAUAGCUUUAGCGCUCUAGCACAUAAAUUAGUUUUGAAAAAUAAGAAUAGAGCAUACCUACUGGUUUGCAAGCUUUUGACUUUGGCACUAAUUCUUUCGGGUGCCAUGACUACUGUGGAGAGUAUUUUCUGCCAUGAAUAUUGUGAAUGAUAGAUUAUGAAAUCGGAUUAGAGAUGAGUGGAUGAAUGAUAGCCACAUCGUUUAUGUGGAAAAAGAUAUAUUCUUGAAGAUUAGUAAUAAAGUAAUUUCACAAAGAUAUCAAAGUAUGAAAACUCGUAAAUAACAAUUGUAUUGUAUUGUAUUCUACCCCUGGAAACCUCUUAUGUCACUCUUCCCAAUCCAGAUGAGCGCGGUUUAAUCUUGACAGCUCUUGGUAGGAAGAAGCCAAUAGAUGCCAAUGUGGACUUGAUGGCAAUUGGAAGUGACAGUACGUGUGAAAAUUUCAGUGAAGCUGACCUAUCUACUCUGGUUUGUCUGUACUUGAUUGUUUUCUUCAUAGGGUAACAAUAUUUUAGAAACUGGUUUUGGUUACUAUAAAUAUUUAAUUAACAUAAAUAAUUUCUAGUAAAUUGGAAGGUUCAUAAUUGUUUGAUGUGAAUAAUUAGUGUUUGUUAAAUCAUAAACGACAAAGAUGGCGAAAAAAAUGCUUUAUUGCCAUUCAAGAUAUUUUGUGAUGCAUAAAUAAGUUAUCUUAAAGAAAUUUGAUAUGACUUGAACAAAUGUUGUUCGAUUGAGAAAAUGGGAAUUGUAUUCUAUUUCUUCUUUCACUCUUAAUGUAAAUGUUCAUCCCUUGUAACGAUCAGUCUCAAGUUUGUUAUUUUUAUUUAUCCUAGAUGAAUAAAACUGCUAUAGAAGCUAUUGCAAACAAAAUAAAUUUGGAGAACAAAUCUUUAUAUGCAACACCAUUGACUAUCAAACAAAUACACUUCGAUUGAGUAUCGGAGAAAAUAUCUCUAUCUGUUUUAGAUGCAGUAUGAAUUUUUAUCAAGCUUGAUUUUGUUAUUGUAAUAUACCUCAAGAAAAGUAAAUAACUGUGUCAAUUUUUAUGCUUGGCUGCAAAAGAUAAGAAAACAUGAACAGUCGUCAGAAAGCUUCAUAGCGACUUUAGAAUGGACCUGAUCACGUGAAAAAAGCACUCCUAUGACUUAUAGUUGUUUGUAC